rnacentral:rRNA from 1 species
UACAGAGGUCCCAAGCGUUGUUCGGAUUCACUGGGCGUAAAGGGUGCGCAGGCGGCCGGGUGUGUCAGAUGUGAAAUCCCGAGGCUUAACCUCGGAACUGCGUCUGAAACUACUCGGCUAGAGUACUGGAGAGGGAAACGGAAUUCACGGUGUAGCAGUGAAAUGCGUAGAUAUCGUGAGGAACACCAGAGGCGAAGGCGGUUUCCUGGACAGUUACUGACGCUCAGGCACGAAAGCAUGGGGAGCAAAAGGG